CUGUGGCGAAGCUCAUCCUCGCAGCGGGGGAGCAACACCGCGGCGUCAGACUGCCACGGACUGCCUCCGGUCAAUCUGCAUCAUCCGACUCCCACGGGCUCAAGCUGUGCAGUUCGGCCUCUACGGAUCCACCGACGCCACUGCUCCCCUCCUCUCUCUCACUGCAUCUCCCGCCGCAUCUCGCGCCUCUCUCGGCACUUGGCGUCCUCCCCAUGCGUUCCAGCAGCUGGUCGACCACGGCGGGGUCCAAGGGCCGGUCGAGCGAAUGCCACCGGGCAAAGAUGUCCUGGGUCUUCUCGUUGCAGAAGCCAGCGGAUGCCAGGGUCUUCUCGAUGAACUCGUGCUGCUCCUGCUCGCGGUUGCUGUCUCCUUUGGUAGAACACUGCGGAGGAGCCUCUUGGGAAGCGUCGUCCCACGACAAGGUCCUCGCGAUCGAUCCCCCCUGAACCUACCUCCCGACGCCCUCCGAGUCUCCGACGGAUCAGGAUCUGCUGACGUUGGGUGGCGUGAGCGGUUCCCUCCGACGAAGACGAUCCCUCCGCCUCGUGGCGUGAGCGGUUCCCUCCGACGAAGACGAUCCCUCCGCCUCAACCUCUGCUGCCACGACCGUCGCGCCCCCACGGCACCGAAUGCCUCGGCGACCUGCUCGACCAGGACUAGCUUUUCGAUGGGCACAACGAAUCAAGAGCUACCAUAUACAUUCCAAGCAAAUAUGGUUGCAUACCAAAACUUGGUUACAAAGUCAAUGUAUGAUAAAUACCUUUGCUUAUCUCUUCGCUCGCAAAAAGCGCCACAAGGCAGUGCUGCACUCAAGAUGGUGGAGGAAGUCCGCCGGCAGUUCAACACCAUCCCUGGGCUCAUGGAGGGCACCACAAAGCCUGACUACGCAACUUGUGUCAAGAUCUCAACGGAUGCAUCCAUCAAGGAGAUGAUCCCCCAGGCGCUCUUGUUAUGCUGACACCACUGAUCGUUGGGAUUUUGUUUGGGGUUGAGACCCUCUCUGGGGUCCUUGCUGGCGCCCUUGUCUCUGGUGUUCAGGCUGGAGCUUCAGUGCAUGCCAGGACCCUUGGCCCAAAAGGUUCUGACCCUCACAAGGCGGCUGUCAUUGGUUACACCAUUGGAGAUCCUCUCAAGGACACGUCUGGCCCCUCCCUCAACAUUCUCAUCAAGCUUAUGGCGGUUGAAUCCCUUGUCUUCGCCCCCUACUUCGCCGCCCAUGGUGGCAUUACAUGUGUGUUGUGUAAUAGCAUCUGUAUAGAGAAACAAUACACUCAGAGCUAGACCACUGACGACGAACCUCUGUGCAAACUUUGUCAAGGACUUUGCAAGUAA